CGCGGCCCUCCUGGAGCCGCCACUUCAUCUGUGUCACCAGGUGCUCAAAGCGGUACUGGGAUGGAUUCACCAGCUUCAGCUUAGGACAGCCUGAAAAGAAACAGAGAACAGUUACCACACGUUGUCCUGACCCAACUUCUGCUUCCCUUUGAUUCUUGCUGGGGCCCAGGCAGCUAACUUGAGAGAGCAGGAAGCUCAGUGGCACCUCUGGAGCCUCUCAGGAAGGUCAUUGGCAGACAAACCCUCUACUCAGCCCCAGUGGACCUCUCUGAAGGAAAGGCCUCUAGAAAUACUGUGACCCACCAGAGAAGCAACCUGUUGCCUGAGCCUUCCCCUCUAGGGAGCAACGGGGGCUCUUGCAGUCGGCAAAGAGGAAACACAGCGACAGAAACCAGUGUACAAGACACGAGAAAGGCAAAGUGGAGAAGCAUGUUGCUGCGCUGGGAGUCAGGACGCCAAGGUUCAAUUCCUAGCCCCAUGGCUGUCUCAUGAUUCACCAUUCACCCUGUGCCCACUUCCCCUCUUUCACAAACAUCGAGAUGCUCUCACACAGCCAAGAAGUAAAAAGGUCCUUCCCUCCAGAUCUCAGUUUUCCCUGGAAAACUAGAAGCAGCAGCAGCAGCAGUGGCUCACCUCUGGUGA